rnacentral:rRNA from 1 species
GAUGAACGCUGGCGGCGUGCCUAAUACAUGCAAGUCGAGUGAACAGACGAGGAGCUUGCUCCUCUGACGUUAGCGGCGGACGGGUGAGUAACACGUGGAUAACCUACCUAUAAGACUGGGAUAACUUCGGGAAACCGGAGCUAAUACCGGAUAAUAUAUUGAACCGCAUGGUUCAAUAGUGAAAGACGGUUUUGCUGUCACUUAUAGAUGGAUCCGCGCCGCAUUAGCUAGUUGGUAAGGUAACGGCUUACCAAGGCAACGAUGCGUAGCCGACCUGAGAGGGUGAUCGGCCACACUGGAACUGAGACACGGUCCAGACUCCUACGGGAGGCAGCAGUAGGGAAUCUUCCGCAAUGGGCGAAAGCUUGACGGAGCAACGCCGCGUGAGUGAUGAAGGUCUUCGGAUCGUAAAACUCUGUUAUUAGGGAAGAACAAAUGUGUAAGUAACUAUGCACGUCUUGACGGUGCCUAAUCAGAAAGCCACGGCUAACUACGUG